AUGCACGCUGGCGGCGUGCCUAAUACCUGCAAGUCGAGCGAACGGACGAGAAGCUUGCUUCUCUGAUGUUAGCGGCGGACGGGUGAGUAACACGUGGAUAACCUACCUAUAAGACUGGGAUAACUUCGGGAAACCGUAGCUAAUACCGGAUAAUAUUUUGAACCGCAUGGUUCAAAAGUGAAAGACGGUCUUGCUGUCACUUAUAGAUGGAUCCGCGCUGCAUUAGCUAGUUGGUAAGGUAACGGCUUACCAAGGCAACGAUGCAUAGCCGACCUGAGAGGGUGAUCGGCCACACUGGAACUGAGACACGGUCCAGACUCCUACGGGAGGCAGCAGUAGGGAAUCUUCCGCAAUGGGCGAAAGCCUGACGGAGCAACGCCGCGUGAGUGAUGAAGGUCUUCGGAUCGUAAAACUCUGUUAUUAGGGAAGAACAUAUGUGUAAGUAACUGUGCACAUCUUGACGGUACCUAAUCAGAAAGCCACGGCUAACUACGUG
rnacentral:rRNA from 1 species